rnacentral:lncRNA from 1 species
AUGAGAAAAUGUGGAGCAGACUGUAUAGCCAAUGAGAGGGCAGCACAGACAAUGAGAACACUACAACAUGCCUACCCCCCUGCUGUUCCAUUUCUCUCCAUCACCCUUCCCCUUUUCUCCAUCACCCUUCCCCUUUUCUCCAUCUGUCCCAAGAAUGCCCAAAGGUUUCUACCCUUAUCCUCCAGUUCUUCUUUUGGAGAACUGAUCAGCACCCUGCCAGCUGAGGCCAACAGAGUGGGUUCUGGUGGUCAAGGAUGUGAUACCUGGGCCCCAUCACCCUGUCAGCACCUUGUAGAUUUUCCAGGAGCACCUGCAUUGUGUUUAAAAUUGUAUGUUUGCAGUUGGCAUUGGACAAGGCUGAUUCCUCCCCUUAUAGAAGGCCUAUCAGCUGGAGGUGAUGAGGAGGCCUAGAUGCCGUCUCUUAGGGAAGGCCUUCUUCAUCCUCCAGGAAGCAGCCCUGCAACCGACACUGGAACCAGAGCUCUAAACCUCAAGUGCAUCUAAUCCAGCCCACCAAGUGGGUAACCUGACGCACAGGAGGAGUACACAUCCCAGAUCUCCUGAGGACACACCCAAAACCACACAAACUCCUUCAACCCAGUCCAUAAUGCACCUCACUAUGGGCACCCACAUCCCCUCCUGAGUGUGGGCUUCUUCACUCUGCCCAAUAAACUUUUCUGUGCCUCUCCCUGUCAUAUCCUGUUGUUCUUUUCUGUAAGUCAAGAACUUUCAACCUACCCCACAGGUGAGGCGAACUGAGGUUCCCAUCUCUCUUGGAUGGUGGCCUUCCUUAGGCCCUGUCCAGUGACAGGAACAGGCCUUCCUGAUUCCUGUAUUUACUGCUAGGCAGUGUGAGCCAUUGGACAAGCUGUUGAUCUUCCUAAACGUAGUUUCCCUGUCUGUAAAAUGGGGGAUAACAGUAGAUUCUACCCCCUAACACUGUUUGGAGGGUUAAUGUUAUUAG